rnacentral:lncRNA from 1 species
GCUGGACCCUCCCACGGUUCACUGCACUGGACCCGAUUCUGCCACCACGCCACGAGACAGCCCUACGAUUGCCAGGGACACCCAUAAGAUUGCAGUGGCCGUCUGUCUCACGGUGUGGAAUCCAUUUUGUUUCUUUCACUUGCUCUGGGCACUGGCAGAGCAUCAGCUGAGGCUCUAAAGCCUGGUUCUGGCUUGUUUCCCCUGGGAAUCACCCUCCUGCACUUCAUUCUGCCUCCCAAGUCACUCCCACCAUGCUCCACAGUAACUGGUUCCACCAGUUUUUCUGAGCAUUCUUCUCCCUCCGCCACUCCAGCUGAAAGCUGUCUUGAUCAAAUCACCUACCCUCCAGGCACACAUGGUCUUCCCCUUCCUUGUGCAAGGCACCCCAUCCCAGCCGGGAAGCCACCAUCCCGCUAUCUGAAAUCGUGCUCCCAGCUGGUUUAUCUUUGUGGACCUAUUUGGGGUCAGUUCUGCCUGGGGCUGGCGAGUGUGGAUUAAACAUCUCAGUGGAUCUGCUCUGUUCUGAGGUCUGCCCUGACAGAAGGCACGCUCUGGUCUUUGAACAGGAAUUUAAGGAGGCUUCAUUUUGAUGUGAAUUGGAGUUCAAACUUGGCUCGAUUGUAGACUGAGCUCUGAGAAUGAAACGGCGUCGCCACACAAAGGCCGUCACAGAGAACCCAGACAAACACAAGAGAUUGCUACCAAAACACAAAAAGACCCCUCUCUGCCACUGCUGCACCGAUGAGGCAGGUCCUGUGGUUGGUGGUUCUGCGAGGUCACAGGCUGGUCCAGUCGCGUGAGGCAGCGCCGAGCAGAGCGGGAGCCGGGGCCCUUUCUUCCCCACCCAUCUGCCAGCGGGAUUGGGGCCUUUCUCUCCAGGUCUCUCUCCAUGGCCGCAGGGUGGUGGGAACGCAUGAAUGUGAUGACCAUCUAUUAUCUCCCGGCCAGCGCGUCAGCACUUAUUAAGCCAUAAAAUUAAAUCUCUUUUUCAUGUAGGAUUACUCACCAAAAACAUUUGUUUUAUUCUAGUAGGUUUUUAUAUGGCCUCGAAUUAGUGAAGGUUUUCUUUUGCUUUGUUUUUGUUUUUUAUGGCUUGAGCCUCACAAAACAAGAGAAUAGGAGAAAGGUCAAGAGGCUGCUUGUGAAAGAGAGCAAGAAGGCAGCAGGCUGUGCUCAAGGAGACUCCCAUGGAAGUCAGAGAAGGUGCAGCCUCUGUUGGUAGACAGAGUCAUCAGUAGGGCUGGGAAAAUGGACUCACGAGUAGAGAUUGUCUUGACAUCGACAAGAAAGCAUUGGACCUAAGAGCAGAGGAGGUAACAUCCCCAAGGGCCUUGGAACUUCUGUCCCCGCCCUGAGCUGAAAUGAGCUGAGGUUUCUCCAGCGCCUGGCUGAGAUGGGCAGACAACAGAAGAGCCGGCGCCACGGGAGGACCUCACUUAAAGCUUCGAAUGAAGAGGAGCCAGCUCUUUGAAGUCUGAGAUACCAGACUUCACUUUCCAGUGAUGUGGGUAAUUGUUUAAUUUCUCUGAGACUAAAUUUCCUUGUCUUUAAAAUGAGAAGAACAACCACAUCACCGAGCUGUAGGACAGUGACGUGAAGUGGCACAGGACAAGUCUGCGCUAAAAUAGGAUGUGAAUUCCCUGGCCUUUCCUCCUCUCCCCAGUGUUGAGUCAUAUUGAUUCAACUUCCCCAGCAAAUGUAUUUAGUGCAGCACUAACUACUAAGUUCUGCUAGAAAAUAAAGCCUCUGCUUGCAUUGCA